ensembl:snRNA U6 U6 spliceosomal RNA
UCUUCAGGACACCCUUUGGCAGCACAUACUAAAACCAGAUCAAUACAGAGAAUAUUAGCAUGGCCCCUAGGCAAGGAUGCCACACAAACCAUGAAGCAUUCCAUAAAAGA